AUCCUCUCAGGGUCACGCCUGGAGAGUUUCCGGCCCUCUACCGGUCUCGAUUACAGGAGGGAGAGUCAAGCAGAGGCCUGUCCGUUCCAUUCCUAGCUUGGACAGUGGCUAGCGGGUGGAAGGCCAUCUGCUACAAGU